CAGGAAAUAGUUUAAUAAAAAUAUUAGUUUUGGAGAUUAAUGAUAGGAAUAAUUCUUUUUCCUGA
rnacentral:tRNA from 1 species